rnacentral:rRNA from 1 species
AUGUCAUAUGUAGAUCAACAUCACGAAGGAGGUGCCAGUGAACAUGUCACAAAGGAAUUGCCGGAAAUCAGCGACCAAGGGGGUGCUAUUGGGGGCGCAACACACAUUCCAGAUGUGCCUGAGAGCUCACACAUGCAAGCAAAUGUACAUGUGGGAGCAGAUGCGGGUUCUCAAAGCCCACCUCACACCGGUACAGGGGGUACCAAUGGUAGCGCAGAGCAUGUGCAUGAGCGCAUCCAUCUAACACGGAGAGUGGUGACGACGUGUGCGGCUCUUUGGAGGAGUGGCUCCAUGCAUUGCCAACAAUCGAGGAGUUAG